GACGAACGCUGGCGGCGUGCCUAAUACAUGCAAGUCGUGCGGAGUGGAAUCAAGGUGCUUGCACCGAGAUUUCACUUAGCGGCGGACGGGUGAGUAACACGUAGGCAACCUGCCCGUAAGACCGGGAUAACUGACGGAAACGGCAGCUAAGACCGGAUAAGCGGUUUUCUCGCAUGAGGGAGCCGGGAAAUGCGGAGCAAUCUGCAGCUUACGGAUGGGCCUGCGGCGCAUUAGCUGGUUGGCGGGGUAACGGCCCACCAAGGCGACGAUGCGUAGCCGACCUGAGAGGGUGAUCGGCCACACUGGGACUGAGACACGGCCCAGACUCCUACGGGAGGCAGCAGUAGGGAAUCUUCCGCAAUGGACGCAAGUCUGACGGAGCAACGCCGCGUGAGUGAGGAAGGUCUUCGGAUCGUAAAGCUCUGUUGCCAGGGAAGAACGGGGAGAAGAGUCACUGCUUCUCUCAUGACGGUACCUGAGAAGAAAGCCCCGGCUAACUAC
rnacentral:rRNA from 1 species